GAUGAACGCUGGCGGCAGGCUUAACACAUGCAAGUCGAGCGGAGAUGAGGUGCUUGCACCUUAUCUUAGCGGCGGACGGGUGAGUAAUGCUUAGGAAUCUGCCUAUUAGUGGGGGACAACAUUCCGAAAGGAAUGCUAAUACCGCAUACGUCCUACGGGAGAAAGCAGGGGAUCUUCGGACCUUGCGCUAAUAGAUGAGCCUAAGUCGGAUUAGCUAGUUGGUGGGGUAAAGGCCUACCAAGGCGACGAUCUGUAGCGGGUCUGAGAGGAUGAUCCGCCACACUGGGACUGAGACACGGCCCAGACUCCUACGGGAGGCAGCAGUGGGAAAUAUUGGACAAUGGGCGGAAGCCUGAUCCAGCCAUGCCGCGUGUGUGAAGAAGGCCUUUUGGUUGUAAAGCACUUUAAGCGAGGAGGAGGCUACCUAGAUUAAUACUCUGGGAUAGUGGACGUUACUCGCAGAAUAAGCACCGGCUAACUCUGUGCCAGCAGCCGCAGUAAGAC
rnacentral:rRNA from 1 species